GCGGCUUAAUUUGACUCAACGCGGGGUAAUUUACCAGGUAUAACAUGGUAUAAUAUUUUAUCAUGAUAGUGGUGCAUGGCCGUUUCCAAUGGAUGCUGUGAAGUAAUGAUUAAUUUCAACAAGAUGUGAGACCCUCAUAUAGACAGAUGUAGUGAUACAUAUGAAGGAGAGGAUUAAAACAGGUCCGUUAUGCCCUAAGAUAAUCUGGGUUGCACGCGCAAUACAAUAAUAUUUGAUAUUAUAAGGGAUAAUAUAAUGUGAGAUAUAUUUGAACAUGGAAUUGCUAGUAAAUUUUAUUUAAUAAGUAGAAUUGAAUGAGUCCCUGUUCUUUGUACACACCGCCCGUCGCUAUCUAAGAUGGUAUUAUCUAUGAACAAAUUUAUAAAGUGAAUAGAUAGUACUAGAUCUGAUAUAAGUCGUAACAUGGUUGCUGUUGGAGAACCAUUAGCAGGAUCAUAA
rnacentral:rRNA from 1 species